rnacentral:pre_miRNA from 1 species
CUUAUACUCCCUCCAUCCCAAAAUACUUGUCAUCAAAAUGAAUAAAAGGAGAUGUAUCUAGAUGUAUUUUAGUUCUAGAUACAUCUCUUUUUAUCCAUUUUGAUGACAAGUAUUUUCGGACCGAGGGAGUAGUAG